ACGGAAGGCAGCAGUGAGGAAUAUUGGACAAUGGGGGCAACCCUGAUCCAGCCAAACCGCGUGAGGGAUGAAGGUCCUACGGAUCGUAAACCUCUUUUAUGUGGGAAUAAUUAGUGGAGCGUGUUCCACUUUGAAGGUACCACUUGAAUAAGCAUCGGCUAACUCCGUGCCAGCAGCCGCGGUAAUACGGAGGAUGCAGGCGUUAUCCGGAUUUAUUAGGUUUAAAGGGUGCGCAGGCGGCUUUUUAAGUCAGUGGUUAAAUCGUGACGCUCAACGUCAUCACGCCAUUGAUACUGGAGAGCUUGAUUGCGGUCGAGGUUUGCGGAAUUCGUUGUGUAGCGGUGAAAUGCAUAGAUAUGACGAAGAACACCGAUUGCGUAGGCAGCAGACCAGGCCGUAAAUGACGCUCAUGCACGAAAGUGCGGGGAUCGAACAGGAUUAGAUACCCUGGUA
rnacentral:rRNA from 1 species